rnacentral:rRNA from 1 species
UAUUGGGCAAUGGACGCAAGUCUGACCCAGCCAUGCCGCGUGCAGGAUGAAGGCGUUAUGCGUUGUAAACUGCUUUUAUACAGGAAGAAACGACUCUUGCGAGAGGCAUUGACGGUACUGUAUGAAUAAGCACCGGCUAACUCCGUGCCAGCAGCCGCGGUAAUACGGAGGGUGCAAGCGUUGUCCGGAUUCAUUGGGUUUAAAGGGUGCGCAGGUGGUUUAUUAAGUCAGUGGUGAAAGACGGUCGCUCAACGAUUGCAGUGCCAUUGAAACUGGUAGACUUGAGUAAAGUAGAGGUGGGCGGAAUUGAUAGUGUAGCGGUGAAAUGCAUAGAUAUUAUCAAGAACUCCAAUUGCGUAGGCAGCUCACUGGCUUUUACUGACACUCAUGCACGAAA